AACAAUGGCCCAAACAUUGUUCAUGUUCUUAUAUAGCCCCCGUAAUUGCUUUGUUCUUUGUAGGGUUUUCCUCCGCCGUUUAGGAAAGCUUGGAAGAAGAAGGUUUAAAAAAAUGGUUGUCCUCUAAAUUCACCAGUUUAUCCAUUGUGUUAUACACUUCGAAGUAAGAAAAGCAAUGGUUUUCAUUGUUCUGGCUUGCGCAGAACAAGGCUCAAUUGGUUGUUAUUGCUCAUGAUGUGGAUCCCAUAGAGUUGGUAGUGUGGCUCCCUGCAUUAUGCAGAAAGAUGGAGGUCCCUUGCUGCAUUGUCAAGGGGAAAUCUCGUUUGGGAUCGAUUGUUCACAAGAAAACUGCUGCCGUUUUGUGCUUGACCACAGUUAAGAAUGAGGAUAAGUUGGAGUUCAGCAGAGUCCUUUAGGCCAUCAAGGCAAACUUCAAUGACAAAUAUGAGGAGAAUAGGAAGAAGUGGGGAGGUGGUGUUAUGGGCUCCAAAUCACAGGCCAGAACCAAGGCAAAGGAGAAGCUUCUUGCCAGGGAAGCUGCUCAGAGGAUGACUUAGAAAUGCUUUUCAAAUCAUAAUCAUUAAUGAGGAGACUUGGAUAAAUCCAAGUGUCGGGUGCUAUGACUAUGAUCUUCCCUUCGCUCUUCUUUAAGUGCCCAUAUGCAUAAUAUGUGUUGUAUACUGAUCUCCAAAAGUUUAUUUCUUACCGCAAAAUAGGCAAACAACCAUGGUAACUUUUUUUUUUUUAUAACAAAGAAAAGCACGUGGCAAACUUUCUAUUAUAACAAA